CCUACGGGCGGCAGCAGUAGGGAAUAUUGCACAAUGGGGGAAACCCUGAUGCAGCGACGCCGCGUGAGCGAUGAAGGUUUUCGGUAUGUAAAGCUCUAUCGUCAGGGAAGAAAAUUACGGUACCUGACUAAUAAGCCCCGGCUACCUCCGUGCCAGCAGCCGCGGUAAUACGUAGGGUGCCAGCGUUAUCCGGAUUUACUGGGUGUAAAGGGCGCGUAGACGGCGGUGCAAGUCAGAUGUGAAAGCCUGGGGCUCAACCCCGGGACUGCAUUUGGAACUGUUAUGCUAGAGUGUCGGAGAGGUAGGCGGAAGUCCUGGUGUAGCGGUGAAAUGCGUAGAGAUCAGGAGGAAUACCAGUGGCGAAGGCGGCCUGCUGGAAGAUGACUGACGCUGAUGCUCGAAAGCGUGGGGAGCAAACAGGAUUAGAUACCCGAGUAGUC
rnacentral:rRNA from 1 species